UAGAGCGGCGGACUGUUAAUCCGUAGGUCACUGGUUCGAGUCCAGUCUGGGGAG
rnacentral:tRNA from 1 species